UACGUAGGGGGCAAGCGUUAUCCGGAUUUACUGGGUGUAAAGGGAGCGUAGACGGCAAGGCAAGUCUGGAGUGAAAGCCCGUGGCCCAACCACGGGACUGCUCUGGAAACUGUGUUGCUGGAGUGCAGGAGGGGUAAGCGGAAUUCCUAGUGUAGCGGUGAAAUGCGUAGAUAUUAGGAGGAACACCGGUGGCGAAGGCGGCAAUCUGGCUGGAAACUGACGCUGAGGUGCGAAAGCGUGGGUAGCAAACAGG
rnacentral:rRNA from 1 species